CCUACGGGAGGCUGCAGUAAGGAAUAUUGGUCAAUGGAGGAAACUCUGAACCAGCCAUCCCGCGUGAAGGAUGAAGGGGCUCUGCCUUGUAAACUUCUUUUGUCUGGGGCGAAAAAGCUCGAUUUAUCGAGAACUGACGGUACCAGAAGAAUAAGCACCGGCUAACUCCGUGCCAGCAGCCGCGGUAAUACGGAGGGUGCAGGCGUUAUCGGGUAUAAAGGGGUUUAAAGGGUGCGUAGGCGGCAUAGGAGAAAGGCUGUUGCUUAACCAUGGAAUUGCCAUUGAUACUGGAGAGCUUGAAUGAGGUUGAGGUUGGCGGAAUGUGACAUGUAGCGGUGAAAUGCUUAGAUAUGUCAUGGAACACCGAUUGCGAAGGCAGCUGACUGGACCUAUAUUGACGCUGAGGCACGAAAGCGUGGGGAGCGAACAGGAUUAGAUACCCCGGUAGUC
rnacentral:rRNA from 1 species